rnacentral:tRNA from 2 species
GCCAGAGUGGUGAAAUCGGCAAACACGCACGACUCAAAAUCGUGUGCCUUACGGCUUGCGGGUUCAAUUCCCGCCUCUGGCACCA